CCUACGGGGAGCAGCAGUGGGGAAUAUUGCACAAUGGGGGAAACCCUGAUGCAGCGACGCCGCGUGAGUGAAGAAGUAUCUCGGUACGUAAAGCUCUAUCAGCAGGGAAGAAAAUGACGGUACCUGACUAAGAAGCCCCGGCUAACUACGUGCCAGCAGCCGCGGUAAUACGUAGGGGGCAAGCGUUAUCCGGAUUUACUGGGUGUAAAGGGAGCGUAGACGGCAGCACAAGUCUGGAGUGAAAUCCCGGGGCUUAACCCCGGAACUGCUUUGGAAACUGUGCGGCUGGAGUGCAGGAGGGGUAAGUGGAAUUCCUAGUGUAGCGGUGGAAUGCGUAGAUAUUAGGAGGAACAUCAGGGGCGAAGGCGACUUACUGGACUGUAACUGACACUGAGGCACGAAAGCGUGGGGAGCAAACAGGAUUAGAUACCCGAGUAGUC
rnacentral:rRNA from 1 species